GACAGAGGGGGCAAGCGUUGCUCGGAAUCAUUGGGCGUAAAGCGCGCGUAGGCGGCCCUGUAAGUCCGUUGUGAAAGUCAAAGGCUCAACCUUUGAAUGCCGAUGGAUACUGCAGGGCUAGAGUCCGGAAGAGGCAAGUGGAAUUCCUGGUGUAGCGGUGGAAUGCGCAGAUAUCAGGAGGAACACCAACGGCGAAGGCAGCUUGCUGGGACGGUACUGACGCUAAGGCGCGAAAGCGUGGGGAGCGAACAGG
rnacentral:rRNA from 1 species